rnacentral:sRNA from 20 species
GGGCGAGUGAGGAGUGAACGCUCAGAACAACUCCAAGGUCGAAACACGGAAAGACCUUGGAGUUGUUCUUUG